UGGCAGCUAUGAUGAAGUUUUUUUCUCUACUAAUUCCUUCAGCCAUGUAAAGAAGGCCGAACAUAAGUUAACAAGAUGUCGCUCCUGACAUGUGCCUUAAGGCCCUCGUAAUGUAGGAUAUGGAGAUAUCUGAUUGUCUGUGUUGGUUGAGAACUUUUAUCUCAGCAUGCAUGAUUAAAAAAAAAGUGUCGAUGUUCUGUUCUAAGUUGGCCCGUUG
rnacentral:misc_RNA from 1 species